UUUUUAAUUAAUUAACUAUCGAAACGUUAAAUUUUUCAACGAAACUUUAAUACCACCUUAAUAACACUCUGUAAAUAUUUAUAAAAAUAUUUAUGGCUCGGUUUAUAGAAACGAGGUCCCGAUACCUCACUUUCUAAAACCACUUGGCCUAAUAAAUCAUUAUAAAACAUAAAUUACUAAUUCAAUAACCUUUUUAAAACUAUAUUUGAGUCGUUAAUAUUAAAUAAAAAAAUUUACGAGCUUACUUGCCGGAUUUGGUGGCCUCGAAUCACUAUUUCUGACACCACUGAAAAAUUUAGGCUGUUACAUUUACAAUCAACUGUUGUUAGAGAUUUAGCGCUU
rnacentral:lncRNA from 1 species